UGUAGACCCUAAGCCCUACAAACAAAUAUGCAAGCAGGCCCUACAAAUAGUUUGUUCAGAAAUAUACCAUUUAUGACAUCAUUGUCAGAUUUUGAUUAGUUAAUCAGAGAAAUAUAAAGCCUAUAACAAUAGCUUCAGGCCAUGUAGUGUUUUGCCAGAGAGUGGCUCAAAACUCUGUCACAUAUUUCCAGGGCCGCUGACAGCUUUCAUUGGGCCCAGAACAAAGGAAUCUGAAAGGGGCCCCACCCAAUAGGCCACAUACAAUGUAAUGGGGAACCAAUCCUGGGCCCCCUAUCUUCCUGGGCCCGUGGCAACCCCCCUGUCGACGGCCCUGCAUAUUUCCUCCAGAACUGAUACAACGCUUCGCCAAAUAGCCUACGUCUAGAGAAAUCCGGCGAUGGGAGCAUGGGAGAAGAGGACCUGUCAGUGGCAGGACCUUUGAAAGGAAAAUAUAGGUCCCCAAGCGGCGGCACUCAUCCUCAGCUGAGCGACACAGGUCCCUGGCCUGCAACUACGACAAGUUGAGGGAAUUAACACAAAAUUAAACUGUUAAGUUAGAAA